rnacentral:rRNA from 1 species
UACGUAGGGGGCUAGCGUUGUCCGGAAUCAUUGGGCGUAAAGCGCGUGUAGGCGGUCCGGUAAGUCCGCUGUGAAAGUCGAGGGCUCAACCCUCGAAUGCCGGUGGAUACUGUCGGGCUUGAGUACGGGAGAGGCGAGUGGAAUUCCUGGUGUAGCGGUGAAAUGCGCAGAUAUCAGGAGGAACACCGGUGGCGAAGGCAGGUCUCUGGGCCACUACUGACGCUGAGAAGCGAAAGCAUGGGGAGCAAACAGG